CAGCCGCCGCGGUAAAGCCAGCACCUCAAGUGGUCAGGAUGAUUAUUGGGCCUAAAGCAUCCGUAGCCUGCUUUGUUAGUUUUCGGUUAAAUCCAUACGCUCAACGUAUGGGCUGCCGGGAAUACUGCAAAGCUAGGGAGUGGGAGAGGUAGACGGUACUCGGUAGGAAGGGGUAAAAUCCUUUGAUCUAUUGAUGACCACCUGUGGCGAAAGCGGUCUACCAGAACACGUCCGACGGUGAGGGAUGAAAGCUGGGGGAGCAAACCGGAUUAGAUACCCGGGUAGUCCCAGCUGCAAACUAUGCAAACUCGGUGAUGCAUUGGCUUGAUGCCAAUGCAGUGCCGCAGGGAAGCCGUUAAGUUUGCCGCCUGGGAAGUACGUACGCAGUAUGAAACUUAAAGGAAUUGGCGGGGGAGCAC
rnacentral:rRNA from 2 species